CUUCCAGUAGCACCUUAGAGGCCAACUAAGUUUGUUAUUGGUAUGAGCUUUGAAGAAGUAUGCAUGCACAUGAAAGUUCAUACCAAUAACAAACUCAGUUGGGCUCUAAGGUGCUACUGGAAG